UUUCCGUAGGUGAACCAGCGGAGGGAUCAUUACAGAGUAGCAAAACUCCCAGAACUAUCGCUGACCCAACACUACAUGCACGCCCGAGUGCCCCCCCACACCCCCAACUCACCCCUGUGCCCACCACCGCGCCGGUCCACCCUUGGCUUGUUCAGAAGGGGCCUUCCGUUUUCACUCAUACUAUAAAUUCAGUCUAUAAUGAAUUUUUUUUUUUUUCGAUCCCGCGAUCAAUACCACUGUAAACAACGGAACCCUUCGCUCUCGCACCGAUGAAGAACC
rnacentral:misc_RNA from 1 species